rnacentral:rRNA from 1 species
UACGGAGGAUGCGAGCGUUAUCCGGAUUCACUGGGUUUAAAGGGUGAGUAGGCGGACUUGUAAGUCAGUGGUGAAAGACUGUAGCUUAACUAUAGAAAUGCCAUUGAUACUGCAGGCCUUGAGUACAGUUGAGGCAGGCGGAAUGUGCAGUGUAGCGGUGAAAUGCUUAGAUAUUGCACAGAACACCGAUUGCGAAGGCAGCUUGCUAAGCUGUUACUGACGCUGAGUCACGAAAGCGUGGGGAUCAAACAGG